rnacentral:rRNA from 1 species
UACAUUGUAUCGAAGCAUCCAGAGAUGGAUGUGUCUCUUCGGAGACGGUAUGACAGGUGCUGCAUGGCUGUCGUCAGCUCGUGCGUGAGGUGUUGGGUUAAGUCCCGCAACGAGCGCAACCCCUAUCUUUAGUUGCCAUCAGUUCGGCUGGGCACUCUAUGGAGACUGCCACCUAAAGUGGAGGAAGGUGGGGAUGACGUCAAGUCAGCAUGGCCCUUACGUCCGGGGCUACACACGUGCUACAAUGGCCGGUACGAAGGGUUGCGAAGCCGUGAGGUGGAGCGAAUCUCAAAAAGCCGGCCUCAGUUCGGAUUGGAGGCUGCAACUCGCCUCCAUGAAGUCGGAAUCGCUAGUAACCGCAGAUCAGCUACGUUGCGGUGAAUACGUUCCCGGGCCUU